GGAUGCAGGCAGACCUAAUUGUGGUGUCUGUCAUCCCAUUGAUUGACAGGACAAUGUUGAUUCUGCUGACCAGGCUGGCUAGGUAGGCAGGUGACCCCUUCCUCCCUUAGGAAUCCACACUCAUCCCUCUUAAAGCUGUUGGACUCUCCUGCUAGAACCUCCAAACAAGCUCUCAAGAAGGAAGGAAGGAAGACAUUAAAACAAACAAACAAACAAACAAACAAACAAAAACUCAAAGAGAAAGGAAUUU
rnacentral:snRNA from 1 species